GAUGAACGCUGGCGGCGUGCCUAAUACAUGCAAGUCGAGCGGUAAGGCUCCUUCGGGAGUACACGAGCGGCGGACGGGUGAGUAAUACGUAGGAACGUACCCCAAAGUGAGGAAUAACCAGCCGAAAGGUUGGCUAAUACCGCAUAUGCUCUACGGAGUAAAGCAGCAAUGCGCUUUGGGAACGGCCUGCGUCCGAUUAGCUAGUUGGUAAGGUAAAGGCUUACCAAGGCGACGAUCGGUAGCUGUUCUGGGAGGAUGAUCAGCCACACUGGAACUGAGACACGGUCCAGACUCCUACGGGAGGCAGCAGUAGGGAAUUUUCCACAAUGGGCGAAAGCCUGAUGGAGCAACGCCGCGUGCAGGAUGAAGGCCUUAGGGUUGUAAUCUGCUUUUAUCUGUGACGAUUAUGACGGUAGCAGAUGAAUAAGGAUCGGCUAACUCCGUGCCAGCAGCCGCGGUAA
rnacentral:rRNA from 1 species